rnacentral:rRNA from 1 species
UACGUAGGUGGCAAGCGUUAUCCGGAAUUAUUGGGCGUAAAGAGCGCGCAGGUGGUUGAUUAAGUCUGAUGUGAAAGCCCACGGCUUAACCGUGGAGGGUCAUUGGAAACUGGUCGACUUGAGUGCAGAAGAGGGAAGUGGAAUUCCAUGUGUAGCGGUGAAAUGCGUAGAGAUAUGGAGGAACACCAGUGGCGAAGGCGGCUUCCUGGUCUGUAACUGACGCUGAGGCUCGAAAGCGUGGGGAGCAAACAGGAUUAGAUA